GCCGGGCGUAGUGGCGCGCAUCUGUAAUCCCAGCUACUCGGAGGCUGAGGCAGGAGAAUUGCUUGAACCUGGGAGGCGGAGGGUGCAGUGAGCCGAGAUCGUGCCACUGCACUCCAGCCUGGGUGACAGAGCAAGACUCUGCCUCAC
rnacentral:SRP_RNA from 1 species